UACAGAGGUGGCAAGCGUUGUUCGGAAUUAUUGGGCGUAAAGCGCGUGUAGGCGGCUUUGCAAGUCGGGUGUGAAAGCCCUCAGCUCAACUGAGGAAGUGCGCCCGAAACUGCAGAGCUUGAGUACCGGAGAGGAUGGCGGAAUUCCCCAAGUAGAGGUGAAAUUCGUAGAUAUGGGGAGGAACACCGGUGGCGAAGGCGGCUCUCUGGGACGGUACUGACGCUGAGACGCGAAAGCGUGGGGAGCGAACAGG
rnacentral:rRNA from 1 species